CCUACGGGUGGCCGCAGUGGGGGAUAUUGCACAAUGGGGGGAACCCUGCUGCAGCGACGCCGCGUGGGUGAAGAAGCGCCUCGGCGCGUAAAGCCCUGUCAGCCGGGAAGACAAUGACGGUACCUGCAGACGAAGCCCCGGCUAACUACGUGCCAGCAGCCGCGGUAAUACGGAGGGGGCAAGCGGUAUCCGGAUUUACUGGGUGUAAAGGGGGCGCAGCCGGCGAUGCACGCCAGGAGUGAAACCCCGGGGCCAAAACCCGGGACUGCUCUUGGACCUGCGGGGCUGGAGUGGAGGAGGGGCAUGCGGAAUGCCUGGUGUAGCGGUGAAAUGCGUAGAUAUCAGGAGGAACACCGGUGGCGAAGGCGGCCUGCUGGACUGCAACUGACGUUGAGGCCCGAAAGCGUGGGGAGCAAACAGGAGUAGAUACCCGAGUAGGC
rnacentral:rRNA from 1 species